rnacentral:lncRNA from 1 species
GGUAACAGAAAUUAGCUUGACGAACGGAGAGGGGGAAAAAACGAAAGGAAAGUCUGAAAAGGUUCACGGUUAAAAACGUAAAAAAGUCACGGAAAACGUCAAAAACUACAAAGGUUUAGCUUCGGUCAAUUGGGGAACUAGGUGCCGUUGUUCGAGGCGGCGUGGUGUGAAAACGGGCCAUUUCAGAAACACUGCUUCUUGUACUACAUCAACUCCACUGGAUUUUACAAAGAAAAACCACUAUACCAUAGAGAGGAGGGACAACCCCGGGAUGCUGUCUCCCACCGCGGACCUAUACCCACUGACUUAUAGAGGUUACUCCUAUCAGAUGAGAGAGGUGCUGCGAGGAAUAUGGUGGCAAAUAAAGGAAGAUUAAAUCAAGAAUGGUGACUUUGAGAUGGAAAAGCGCAUAUGAAGAAAUAUAACCUGAAGCUUUAUUCUGAAUAUUGAACAUAAUUUGGAUGUGGACAUUAUUAUCGAAUGAAUCAAUGAAGACAACACAUAUAGGGAUUUUAUCUGCUUUGGAAACAGGACCGUCCCGGCUGUUUUGAACAGCCCCGAACAGA